rnacentral:rRNA from 1 species
GAUGAACGCUAGCGGCAGGCCUAAUACAUGCAAGUCGAACGGUGUCUUCGGACAUAGUGGCGCACGGGUGCGUAACACGUAUGCAACCUACCUUACAUUGGGGGAUAGCCUUUCGAAAGGGAGAUUAAUACCGCAUAAGACAGUAGCUGGGCAUCCAGCAGCUGUUAAAGAUUUAUCGAUGUAGGCUGGGCAUGCGUCCAAUUAGCUAGUUGGUGAGGUAACGGCUCACCAAGGCAACGAUUGGUAGGGGAACUGAGAGGUCAAUCCCCCACACUGGCACUGAGAUACGGGCCAGACUCCUACGGGAGGCAGCAGUAGGGAAUAUUGGGCAAUGGACGCAAGUCUGACCCAGCCAUGCCGCGCGCAGGAUGAAGGCGUUAUGCGUUGUAAACUGCUUUUAUACAGGAAGAAACGACUCUUGCGAGAGGCAUUGACGGUACUGUAUGAAUAAGCACCGGCUAACUACGUGCCAGCAGCCGCCGUAAAAC